UACGUAGGGGGCAAGCGUUGUCCGGAUUUACUGGGCGUAAAGCGCGCGUAGGCGGCUCGGUAAGUCGGGUGUGAAACCUCCAGGCUCAACCUGGAGACGCCACUCGAUACUGCUGUGACUAGAGUUCGGUAGGGGAUCACGGAAUUCCUGGUGUAGCGGUGAAAUGCGCAGAUAUCAGGAGGAACACCGGUGGCGAAGGCGGUGAUCUGGGCCGACACUGACGCUGUAGAGCGAAAGCGUGGGGAGCGAACAGG
rnacentral:rRNA from 1 species